rnacentral:rRNA from 1 species
GACGAACGCUGGCGGCGUGCUUAACACAUGCAAGUCGAACGGAAAGGCCUGCUUUCCCUUGUGGAUUGCGGGUACUCGAGUGGCGAACGGGUGAGUAACACGUGAGUGAUCUGCCCCCAACUUGGGUAUAAGCCUGGGAAACUGGGUCUAAUUCCCGAUAGGACUGCAGGGUGGUGCCUGUGGUGGAAAACGAUUUUCUAGUGGUUGGGGAUGAGCUCGCGGCCUAUCAGCUUGUUGGUGGGGUAAUGGCCUACCAAGGCGGCGACGGGUAGCCGGCCUGAGAGGGUGGACGGCCACAGUGGGACUGGGACACGGCCCAGACUCCUACGGGAGGCAGCAGUGGGGAAUAUUGCACAAUGGGCGGAAGCCUGAUGCAGCGACGCCGCGUGGGGGAUGACGGCCUUCGGGUUGUAAACUCCUUUCGACCGCGAGGAAGCCACCUGGUUGGAAGGGUGGUGACGGUAGUGGUAGAAGAAGCACCGGCUAACUACGUG